rnacentral:tRNA from 1 species
GGGCCGGUGGUCUAGCCUGGUAGGACGGCAGUCUCACACGCUGCAAGCCGGGAGUCCAAAUCUCCCCCGGCCCA